GUCCUGGGGCUCACAAAGGUCACUGUGGCAUUCUGGUGCUUGGCGUCUGCUUCACUCAGCGAUCCUUCCGAUCUUUGGCACAUGCAGUCAGCUCCACUCUGCUGUCACCAGCUGAAUGCAUCUCCCAGGAGGAGAGUCUCUCCAGUGACUCCUCUUCUUUGGCGCUCUGGACUCUCUCUAAUGGCCUCUCUCCAGAGCUGGAAGUACCUUGCUGGGCUCACUGUUUGCCAAUCCAGAUGAAGCAGCAACUCCAGAAGUGCUGCAUGGGGCCCUGCUUCCUGCUGGUAUUCUCUGCCUCAUCUAAGGUGAGUUAAACAAUGAAUUCCCACUCCCUUGAUUGCUGUCCUUACCUGAGCUUGGAACUCCUGGAUUGUAUCUUCAUCAAGAAAUGUUCCAGUACAGAAAAACAACUAUACUCUGGUAUUUCCUGGAAGAAUGGAAUAUAAUCAUUCUGCUGUCUGGAGGCACUCUUUAGUGUCCAAACUAAGACUGUAAGUCAUUCAGUCAUAACCUACUUACUUUGUUCUGAAUGAUGACAUUUAGUAUUGUACAGAAUAUAAAAGACACAUUGCCAUGAGGGUUUUAAAUUCCACAAACACUAAGAAGACAGAAGCUACCACA